AUUGAACGCUGGCGGAAUGCUUUACACAUGCAAGUCGAACGGCAGCAUAGGUGCUUGCACCUGAUGGCGAGUGGCGAACGGGUGAGUAAUACAUCGGAACGUGCCCAGUCGUGGGGGAUAACGUAGCGAAAGUUACGCUAAUACCGCAUACGAUCUACGGAUGAAAGCGGGGGACCGUAAGGCCUCGCGCGAUUGGAGCGGCCGAUGUUAGAUUAGGUAGUUGGUGGGGUAAAGGCUCACCAAGCCGACGAUCUAUAGCUGGUCUGAGAGGAUGAUCAGCCACACUGGGACUGAGACACGGCCCAGACUCCUACGGGAGGCAGCAGUGGGGAAUUUUGGACAAUGGGCGCAAGCCUGAUCCAGCCAUUCCGCGUGCAGGACGAAGGCCUUCGGGUUGUAAACUGCUUUUGUACAGAACGAAAAGCUCUGAGUUAAUACCUCGGGGUCAUGACGGUACUGUAAGAAUAAGCACCGGCUAACUACGUG
rnacentral:rRNA from 1 species